ensembl:rRNA 5S_rRNA 5S ribosomal RNA
GUCUACGACCAUACCACCUGAAUGCGCCCGAUCUUGGAAGCUAAGCAGGGUCGGGUCUGGUUAGUACUUGGAUGGGAGAUUAGUAGACAGAGCAGGAGAGUAAAAA